rnacentral:rRNA from 1 species
AGCAGCCGCGGUAAUUCCAGCUCCAAUAGCGUAUAUUAAAGUUGUUGCAGUUAAAAAGCUCGUAGUUGAAUUUCGGGAUCAAUAUAACGGUCAUGCCGUUGGUAUGCACUGUUAUAAUUGAUUUCUCACCUUCUAAAGAACCGUAAUGCCAUUAAUUUGGUGUCACGGGGAAUUAGGACUGUUACCUUGAAAAAUUAGAGUGUUUAAAGCAGGCUCACGCUUGAAUACAUUAGCAUGGAAUAAUGAAAUAGGACAUCCGAUUCUAUUUUGUUGGUUUCUAGGAUCGAUGUAAUGAUUAAUAGGGAUAGUUGGGGCAUUAGUAUUCAAUUGUCAGAGGUGAAAUUCUUGGAUUUAUUGAAGACUAACUACUGCGAAAGCAUUUGCCAAGGAUGUU